rnacentral:lncRNA from 1 species
CGCGGCGAUCCUCGAAUCCACCUGGACAGGUGAGAACAGGUGAGAUCAGACAGGUGAGAUCAGACAGGUGAGAUCAGACAGGUGAGAUUAGACAGGUGAGAUCAGACAGGUGUGAAUAGAACAGGUGAGAUCAGACAGGUGUGACAGGUGUGAGGAAGCCCCCGCGCUCGCCGCGCCCGCGGAAACCCCCGCGAUCGAAUCCUCCGCGACCACCACGGCGAUCCUCGAAACCUCCACCUGGACAGGUGAGAUCAGACAGGUGAGAACAGGUGAGAACAGGUGUGAACACAACAGGUGAGAUCAGACAGGUGUGAAUACAGCAGGUGUGACAGGUGUGAGGAAACCCCCGCGAUCGAAACCUCCACGACCACCACGGCGAUCCUCGAAACCUCCACCUGGACAGGUGAGAUCAGACAGGUGAGAACAGGUGAGAACAGACAGGUGAGAACAGGUGUGAACACAACAGGUGUGAACAGCUGUACUCCAGGUGUAUUUUGUGUACCCCCAGGUGUCCCCAGGUGUGUUUUGGGUGUCCCCAGGUGUAUCCAGGUGUAAUCCAGGUGUAUCCAGGUGUACUCCAGGUGUAUUUAGGAUGUCCCCAGGUGUACUCCAGCUAUCCCCAGGUG